rnacentral:piRNA from 1 species
UAACAGCUAGCUGAGGAGUUGGG